rnacentral:tRNA from 1 species
GCAGGGUGGCGGAAUAGGUAGACGCAUCGUCCUAAAAGCCUGAGGACAAAAGGUAAUUGCGAGGUGCAAAUCCUCGCCCCUGCU